rnacentral:rRNA from 1 species
CACGUAGGGCGCAAGCGUUGUCCGGAAUUAUUGGGCGUAAAGAGCUCGUAGGCGGUCUGUUGCGUCCGCUGUGAAAACUCGGGGCUUAACCCCGAGCCUGCAGUGGAUACGGGCAGACUAGAGGUAGGUAGGGGAGAAUGGAAUUCCCGGUGUAGCGGUGAAAUGCGCAGAUAUCGGGAGGAACACCGGUGGCGAAGGCGGUUCUCUGGGCCUUACCUGACGCUGAGGCGCGAAAGCGUGGGGAGCGAACAGG